UAGCCUUUGGAAACGAAGAUUAAUACCCCAUAGUAUGUAUGAAUGGCAUCGUUUAUACAUUAAAACUGAGGUGGUAUAAGAUGACUAUGCGUCCUAUUAGCUAGUUGGUAUGGUAACGGCAUACCAAGGCAACGAUAGGUAGGGGUCCUGAGAGGGAGAUCCCCCACACUGGUACUGAGACACGGACCAGACUCCUACGGGAGGCAGCAGUGAGGAAUAUUGGACAAUGGUCGGAAGACUGAUCCAGCCAUGCCGCGUGCAGGAAGACUGCCCUAUGGUUGUAAACUGCUUUUAUACAGGAAGAAUAGGGGGUACGUGUACUCUGAUGACGGUACUGUAAGAAUAAGCACCGGCUAACUCCGUGCCAGCAGCCGCGGUAAUACGGAGGGUGCAAGCGUUAUCCGGAAUCAUUGGGUUUAAAGGGUCCGUAGCGGGUUUAUAAGUCAGUGGUGAAAGUCUGCAGCUUAACUGUAGAAUUGCCAUUGAUACUGUAGAUCUUGAAUCGUUGUGAAGUGGUUAGAAUAUGUAGUGUAGCGGUGAAAUGCUUAGAGAUUACAUAGAAUACCGAUUGCGAAGCAGAUCACUAACAAUGUAUUGACGCUGAUGGACGAAAGCGUAGGUAGCGAACGGGAUUAGAUACCCCGGUAGUCUACGCCGUAAACGAUGGAUACUAGUUGUUUGGUUUUCGGACUGAGUGACUAAGCGAAAGUGAUAAGUAUCCCACCU
rnacentral:rRNA from 1 species